UUACCUGCACACCUGGUGAGAUAAAGGAAAAAGGCCGCGCCGAAGCACCUGACAGUUGUGAAUAUUAGGCUUGUUCCGAGAUACAUCUUCUUCUUCUUCUUCUUCUGGAGUUAAUGGCGGUUGGCAGACCUCCGAGAUACAUCGGUGCUGCACAGACUGCUUGGCGUGAUCAAAGUACCGCGAGAGUGACUGGAAAGCAUACUACUCCUUAUGAAUCGCUCUCGCGGUACUUUGAUGUCAUUGGCUGAUCGGUCUGCACAGCGCCGAUGCAUCUCAAACGAACGGCUUCUCGAUUCAUUUGUCUCUGAAUUGCGAAUCAUUUUGUAUUUUUUGAAUCGUUUCGCAAGCCCUACCUCACACAUGUGCACGGAGCGAGACGGCAGUGCAUGGAAGAUAAUACAGAUGAAUCGCUCCAAAAGAAGAUUACAAAACCAUCCAAAUACAUAACGGUGGAUGAAAACUCAGAGGUCGUAUGUGGGAGCCGCGCGAAAAGCACCGCCAACGUGUCAGCCAAAGAUGCUGCUGGGAUUAAGUAACAGCAAGACUCCUGGGAUUCCAUCAGCUCCUCAGCAUCAGAGUCCCAAGUGAAAAAGAAGAUAAAGAAGAAGAAAAUUAAGAAGCCAAGCAAGAGACACAAAAAAGGAGGAAAAAUAAUGAUAAUUUGUUGUCAUGUUAACAUCAUUAAAAUAAUAAUUGAUAAUCUUUUUUGAAAUAAGUUGUUUAAUUUAUAUUACUAUUAUUGUUAUUCAUAAUUAUUACUGUUAUUAAAAUAAUAUUAAAAUAAAUGUUUUGACAUAAAGGAUAUGCCAUUUUGUGUAUGUAAA